CCUACGGGAGGCAGCAGUGAGGAAUAUUGGUCAAUGGGCGCGAGCCUGAACCAGCCAAGUCGCGUGAGGGAAGACGGUCCUAUGGAUUGUAAACCUCUUUUGUCGGGGAGCAAAAGACGCCACGCGUGGCGUUCCGAGAGGACCCGAAGAAAAAACAUCGGCUAACUCCGUGCCAGCAGCCGCGGUAAGACGGAGGAUGCGAGCGUUAUCCGGAUUUAUUGGGUUGAAAGGGUGCGGAGGCGGAAGGUUAAGUCAGCGGUAAAAUUGAGGGGCCCAACCUCUUCGAGCCGUUGAAACUGGUUUUCUUGAGUGCGAGAGAAGUAUGCGGAAUGCGUGGUGUAGCGGUGAAAUGCAUAGAUAUCACGCAGAACUCCGAUUGCGAAGGCAGCAUACCGGCGCUCAACUGACGCUGAUGCUCGAAAGUGUGGGUAUCGAACAGGAUUAGAUACCCUGGUAGUC
rnacentral:rRNA from 1 species